AGUCGAGGGGUAUGCUUCUUCGGAAGCAGAGACCGGCGCACGGGUGCGUAACGCGUAUGCAAUCUACCUUUUACAGAGGGAUAGCCCAGAGAAAUUUGGAUUAAUACCUCAUAGCAUAGCAGCUUCGCAUGAAGCCACUAUUAAAGUCACAACGGUAAAAGAUGAGCAUGCGUCCCAUUAGCUAGUUGGUAAGGUAACGGCUUACCAAGGCUACGAUGGGUAGGGGUCCUGAGAGGGAGAUCCCCCACACUGGUACUGAGACACGGACCAGACUCCUACGGGAGGCAGCAGUGAGGAAUAUUGGACAAUGGGCGCAAGCCUGAUCCAGCCAUGCCGCGUGCAGGAUGACGGUCCUAUGGAUUGUAAACUGCUUUUAUACGAGAAGAAACACUACUUCGUGAAGUAGCUUGACGGUAUCGUAAGAAUAAGGAUCGGCUAACUCCGUGCCAGCAGCCGCGGUAAUACGGAGGAUCCAAGCGUUAUCCGGAAUCAUUGGGUUUAAAGGGUCCGUAGGCGGUUUAAUAAGUCAGUGGUGAAAGCCCAUCGCUCAACGGUGGAACGGCCAUUGAUACUGUUAAACUUGAAUUAUUAGGAAGUAACUAGAAUAUGUAGUGUAGCGGUGAAAUGCUUAGAGAUUACAUGGAAUACCAAUUGCGAAGGCAGGUUACUACUAAUGGAUUGACGCUGAUGGACGAAAGCGUGGGUAGCGAACAGGAUUAGAUACCCUGGUAGUCCACGCCGUAAACGAUGGAUACUAGCUGUUGGGUGCAAACUCAGUGGCUAAGCGAAAGUGAUAAGUAUCCCACCUG
rnacentral:rRNA from 1 species